rnacentral:rRNA from 1 species
UGUGGUUAAGCUAAUAAGUGCGCACGGAGGAUGCCUAGGCGCCAGGAGCCGAUGAAGGACGCGACGAACAGCGAUAUGCUUCGGGGAGCUGUAAGUGAGCUUUGAUCCGGAGAUUUCCGAAUGGGGAAACCCAGCUAUCGUAAUGGAUAGUUACCCUCGAGUGAAUACAUAGCUCGUUGGAGGCACACCAGGGGAACUGAAACAUCUAAGUACCCUGAGGAACAGAAAACAAUAGUGAUUCCGUCAGUAGCGGCGAGCGAAAGCGGAGAAGCCCAAACCAAGGAGCUUGCUCCUUGGGGUUGUGGGACGUCUCACAUGGAGUAAAAAAAGAGAAGGUUAGGCGAAGAGGUCUGGAAAGGCCCGUCACAGAAGGUAACAACCCUGUAGCCGAAAGUCUUCUCUCUCCGAGACGGAUCCCGAGUACCGCGGGACACGAGAAACCCCGUGGGAAUCCGGCAGGACCAUCUGCCAAGGCUAAAUACUACCUGGCGACCGAUAGUGAAGCAGUACCGUGAGGGAAAGGUGAAAAGCACCGCGGGAGCGGAGUGAAAAAGAACCUGAAACCGUGCGCUUACAAGAAGUCAGAGCCCGAUCUAGGGGUGAUGGCGUGCCUUUUGUAGAAUGAACCGGCGAGUUACGUUCACGUGCAAGGUUAAGCUGAUGAGGCGGAGCCGAAGGGAAACCGAGUCUGAAUAGGGCGAAUAAGUACGUGGUCGUAGACCCGAAACCGUGUGAUCUACCCCUGUGCAGGGUGAAGGUGAGGUAACACUCACUGGAGGCCCGAACUCGUGAGCGUUGAAAAGCUCUGGGAUGACGUGGGGGUAGGGGAGAAAUUCCAAUCGAACUCGGAGAUAGCUGGUUCUCCCCGAAAUAGCUUUAGGGCUAGCCUCGAGGUGAAGCAUCAUGGAGGUAGAGCACUGAUUGGGUGCGGGGCCCGCCAAGGGUUACCAAGUCCAGUCAAACUCCGAAUGCCAUGCAUGUAUACUCGGGAGUCAGACGGCGAGUGCUAAGAUCCGUCGUCAAGAGGGAAAGAGCCCAGAUCAUCAGCUAAGGUCCCCAAGUGUGUGUUAAGUGGGAAAGGAUGUGGAGUUGCGAAGACAACCAGGAUGUUGGCUUAGAAGCAGCCACCAUUUAAAGAGUGCGUAAUAGCUCACUGGUCGAGUGACUCUGCGCCGAAAAUGUAACGGGGCUAAACACACCACCGAAGCUAUGGCAUGUACCUUAGGGUACUUGGGUAGGGGAGCGUUGAAUGCGGGUUGAAGUCAGACCGGAAGGACUGGUGGACUGCAUUCAAGUGAGAAUGCCGGUAUGAGUAACGAAAAGACAGGUGAGAAUCCUGUCCGCCGAAAGCCUAAGGGUUCCUGGGGUAGGUUCGUCCGCCCAGGGUAAGUCGGGACCUAAGGCGAGGCCGAAAGGCGUAGUCGAUGGACAACAGGUUGAAAUUCCUGUACCACCGUAAUCCGUUAUGAGCGAUGGGGGGACGCAGGAGGGGAACGACGCGAGCUGAUGGAUAUGCUCGUCCAAGCAGUGAGAGGUGUGUGUAGGCAAAUCCGCACACUAUAACCUCAAGCUGUGAUGGGGAGGGAAAAUCAUAGUACCGAAGGUCAUGUACCCACGCUGCCAAGAAAAGCCUCUAGCCAGGAGAAGGUGCCCGUACCGUAAACCGACACAGGUGGGCGAGAUGAGAAUUCUAAGGCGCGCGGAAGAACUCUCGUUAAGGAACUCGGCAAAAUGACCCCGUAACUUCGGGAGAAGGGGUGCCCCGGUAGUGUGAAUAGCACGAGGGGGCCGCAGUGAAGAGGCCCAAGCGACUGUUUAGCAAAAACACAGGUCUGUGCGAAGCCGCAAGGCGAAGUAUACGGGCUGACGCCUGCCCGGUGCUGGAAGGUUAAGAGGAGUGGUUAGGGGCAACCCGAAGCUAUGAAUUGAAGCCCCAGUAAACGGCGGCCGUAACUAUAACGGUCCUAAGGUAGCGAAAUUCCUUGUCAGGUAAAUUCUGACCCGCACGAAUGGCGUAACGACUUGGGCGCUGUCUCAACGAGAGAUCCGGUGAAAUUUUAGUACCUGUGAAGAUGCAGGUUACCCGCGACGUGACGGAAAGACCCCAUGGAGCUUUACUGUAGCUUGAUAUUGAACUUUGGUACGGUCUGUACAGGAUAGGUGGGAGCCUAUGAAGCAGGAGCGCAAGCUUCUGUGGAGGCGCCGUUGGGAUACCACCCUGAUCGUAUCGGAGUUCUAACUCACUACCCUUACCGGGUAGGAGGACCGUGUCAGGCGGACAGUUUGACUGGGGCGGUCGCCUCCUAAAAAGUAACGGAGGCGCUCUAAGGUUCCCUCAGCGCGGUUGGAAAUCGCGCGCAGAGUGCAAAGGCAUAAGGGAGCUUGACUGCGAGACCUACAAGUCGAGCAGGGACGAAAGUCGGACUUAGUGAUCCGGUGGUACCGAAUGGAAGGGCCAUCGCUCAACGGAUAAAAGCUACCCUGGGGAUAACAGGCUUAUCUCCCCCAAGAGUCCACAUCGACGGGGAGGUUUGGCACCUCGAUGUCGGCUCAUCGCAUCCUGGGGCUGAAGUAGGUCCCAAGGGUUGGGCUGUUCGCCCAUUAAAGCGGUACGCGAGCUGGGUUCAGAACGUCGUGAGACAGUUCGGUCCCUAUCUGUCGCGGGCGUAGGAAAUUUGAGAGGGGCUGUCCUUAGUACGAGAGGACCGGGAUGGACGCACCGCUGGUGUACCAGUUGUUCCGCCAGGAGCACCGCUGGGUAGCCAAGUGCGGAAGGGAUAAGCGCUGAAAGCAUCUAAGCGCGAAGCCUGCCUCAAGAUGAGAUUUCCCAAUUCGUAAGACCCCUGGAAGAACACCAGGUUGAUAGGCUCGGGGUGGAAGCGCGGCAACGUGUGGAGCUGACGAGUACUAAUCGGUCGAGGGCUUAUCCUAAA